rnacentral:rRNA from 1 species
CCCUUAGAUGUCCUGGGCCGCACGCGCGUUACACUGAUGCAUUCAACGAGCUUAGAACCUUGGCCGAGAGGCCUGGGCAAUCUUGUUAACGUGCAUCGUGAUAGGGAUAGAUUAUUGAAAUUAUUAAUCUUGAACGAGGAAUUCCUAGUAAACGCAGAUCAUCAAUCUGCAUUGAUUACGUCCCUGCCCUUUGUACACACCGCCCGUCGCACCUACCGAUUGGAUGGUCCGGUGAAGCCUCGGGAUUGUGGUUCUUGCCGCUUUAUUGUGGCGUGACCGCGAGAACUUGUCUAAACCUUAUCAUCUAGAGGAAGGUGAAGUCGUAACA